rfam:Volvox carteri f. nagariensis unplaced genomic scaffold VOLCAscaffold_10, whole genome shotgun sequence.
GAUUCCGCCAUAGUAAUACGGCUCAGUACGAGAGGAACCGCCGUUUAAGAUAAUUGGUAAAUGCCCUUGCCUGAAAAGGCAAUGGGGCGAAGCUAACAUCUGUAGUCUAAUGACUGAACGCCUCUAAGUCAGAAGACAUGCUAGGUGCGGAGUCACUUUCCCAAUGAUGUCACCCGACUAAGGAUACAUCCGCCUGUGUGGAUGCUGGAGCAUAUCCGUUGGUUUCCCCGUUAGGAUCACAAGUCCAAUACGGGUGCCAAGCACGACAAUUCCACUCGUCAUUGGGGUAAAUCCUCUGCAGACGACUUUGUUGCAACUGGGUAUUGUAAGUGGUAGAGUGGCCUUGCUGCUACGAUCCACUGAGAUUCAUCCCGUGUUGCUAUAAGAUUU